rnacentral:lncRNA from 1 species
AUUUAGAAAGCCUCCAGAGCCAAGGCUUUGAAGCCCAAAGCACCGCUGUGGGCUUCCAGUUUGCAGAAUAGAAUGACGCCUUGACAACUUCAAUCUCUGGGCUUUUUGUCGGUAUGUUGUGUGAGACUGGCUGAAAUAGCUGUGUGAAAAGCAGAAUCCUAAAUGAAGCUUCUUCAGUUAGGAUCUAUUGUCUGCAAGUCUCAUUAGUAUUAAAACACUUUUUGUGCAUUGGUCUGUAACAAAAUCUCUCUCUUAUGGCACUGGCUGUUGCUUUAGGAAGUGGUGCUGGAACUAAAGAAAGAUAGCUCGAUCCCCGCGUGGAGCACUGGGAGGCUUAUGAUGGAAAUGUGCUCCUUACAGAGCUUGAGUAGGAAGCUGGACCAGGUGACCUCCAGAGGCCCAUCAGUCCUUCUCUGAUUCUGUGAACUGAUGAGCUCAAAGAAUGCACUCCAACUUAAUUGCCAGGCU